rnacentral:rRNA from 1 species
UACAGAGGUCCCAAGCGUUGUUCGGAAUUACUGGGCGUAAAGGGCUCGUAGGUGGCCAACUAAGUCAGACGUGAAAUCCCUCGGCUUAACCGGGGAACUGCGUCUGAUACUGGAUGGCUUGAAUCCGGGAGAGGGAUGCAGAAUUCCAGGUGUAGCGGUGAAAUGCGUAGAUAUCUGGAGGAAUACCGGUGGCGAAGGCGGCAUCCUGGACCGGCAUUGACGCUGAGGAGCGAAAGCCAGGGGAGCAAACGGG